UACGGAGGGGGCUAGCGUUGUUCGGAAUUACUGGGCGUAAAGCGCACGUAGGCGGCUUUGUAAGUUAGAGGUGAAAGCCCAGGGCUUAACCCUGGAAUUGCCUUUAAGACUGCAUCGCUAGAAUCGUGGAGAGGUGAGUGGAAUUCCGAGUGUAGAGGUGAAAUUCGUAGAUAUUUGGAAGAACACCAGUGGCGAAGGCGACUCACUGGACACGUAUUGACGCUGAGGUGCGAAAGCGUGGGGAGCAAACAGG
rnacentral:rRNA from 1 species